rnacentral:rRNA from 1 species
GAUGAACGCUGGCGGCGUGCCUAAUACAUGCAAGUCGAGCGAACAGACGAGGAGCUUGCUCCUUUGACGUUAGCGGCGGACGGGUGAGUAACACGUGGGUAACCUACCUAUAAGACUGGGAUAACUUCGGGAAACCGGAGCUAAUACCGGAUAAUAUUUCGAACCGCAUGGUUCGAUAGUGAAAGAUGGCUUCGCUAUCACUUAUAGAUGGACCUGCGCCGUAUUAGCUAGUUGGUAAGGUAACGGCUUACCAAGGCAACGAUACGUAGCCGACCUGAGAGGGUGAUCGGCCACACUGGAACUGAGACACGGUCCAGACUCCUACGGGAGGCAGCAGUAGGGAAUCGUCCGCAAUGGGCGAAAGCCUGACGGAGCAACGCCGCGUGAGUGAUGAAGGUCUUCGGAUCGUAAAACUCUGUUAUUAGGGAAGAACAAACGUGUAAGUAACUGUGCACGUCUUGACGGUACCUAAUCAGAAAGCCACGGCUAACUACGUG